GAUGAACGCUGACAGAAUGCUUAACACAUGCAAGUCAACUUGAAUUUGGGUUUUUAACUUAGGUUUGGGUGGCGGACGGGUGAGUAACGCGUAAAGAACUUGCCUCACAGCUAGGGACAACAUUUGGAAACGAAUGCUAAUACCUAAUAUUAUGAUAAUAGGGCAUCCUAUAAUUAUGAAAGCUAUAAGCGCUGUGAGAGAGCUUUGCGUCCCAUUAGCUAGUUGGAGAGGUAACAGCUCACCAAGGCGAUGAUGGGUAGCCGGCCUGAGAGGGUGAUCGGCCACAAGGGGACUGAGACACGGCCCUUACUCCUACGGGAGGCAGCAGUGGGGAAUAUUGGACAAUGGACCAAGAGUCUGAUCCAGCAAUUCUGUGUGCACGAUGAAGUUUUUCGGAAUGUAAAGUGCUUUCAGUUGGGAAGAAAGAAAUGACGGUACCAACAGAAGAAGUGACGGCUAAAUACGUGCCAGCAGCCGCGGUAAUACGUAUGUCACGAGCGUUAUCCGGAUUUAUUGGGCGUAAAGCGCGUCUAGGUGGUUAUAUAAGUCUGAUGUGAAAAUGCAGGGCUCAACUCCGUAUUGCGUUGGAAACUGUAUAACUAGAGUACUGGAGAGGUAAGCGGAACUACAAGUGUAGAGGUGAAAUUCGUAGAUAUUUGUAGGAAUGCCGAUGGGGAAGCCAGCUUACUGGACAGAUACUGACGCUGAAGCGCGAAAGCGUGGGUAGCAAACAGG
rnacentral:rRNA from 1 species